GAUGAACGCUGGCGGCGUGCCUAAUACAUGCAAGUCGAGCGAACAGACGAGGAGCUUGCUCCUCUGACGUUAGCGGCGGACGGGUGAGUAACACGUGGAUAACCUACCUAUAAGACUGGGAUAACUUCGGGAAACCGGAGCUAAUACCGGAUAAUAUAUUGAACCGCAUGGUUCAAUAGUGAAAGACGGUUUUGCUGUCACUUAUAGAUGGAUCCGCGCCGCAUUAGCUAGUUGGUAAGGUAACGGCUUACCAAGGCAACGAUGCGUAGCCGUCCUGAGAGGGUGAUCGGCCACACUGGAACUGAGACACGGUCCAGACUCCUACGGGAGGCAGCAGUAGGGAAUCUUCCGCAAUGGGCGAAAGCCUGACGGAGCAACGCCGCGUGAGUGAUGAAGGUCUUCGGAUCGUAAAACUCUGUUAUUAGGGAAGAACAAAUGUGUAAGUAACUAUGCGCGUCUUGACGGUACCUAAUCAGAAAGCCACGGCUAACUACGUG
rnacentral:rRNA from 1 species